GCCAACAUGAAGACAGCCACAAUCUUGCUUCUGAUGGCUUUGAUCACCACGAACAUGAAUAUGGCCUACGCUCUGUUUUCUUCUAAAAAAAUAGUAAAACCUGGAGCUUGUCCCACGAUGUCACCAAUGUCAGCUGGCAUUAGUGUGCUCAGAAGAUGAAUCGUGCCCCAAAAUGAAGAAGUGCUGUCCUAGUAGGCGGGGUUAUAUAUGCAUGCCUCCUGUUUUAAAACCCCACAGGAUUUCUUCUGGAUCCACAGACCCAUGUGUGGCUACUCCCUUCUCCUAGAAUUGCAUCCUGGGAAGAGGAAGAUCUAUAGUGUGGUGACAACGUCCUCACGUGUCUGGGUCCAAAAUAAACUGUCUUCAU